GUUAGCAUCAACAAUACUCUCUUUGACGGAUGGAGCAUGAGUUUGUGCUAUUUAGCCAAUUAUGUAUUUGUGUUAAAGCCUUAAAACUUAAUCAGCCACCCACAAUUAGAAUGGUAUACAUGAAAAUCCCAUAACUGGUUGUGCCCAUGCACAAAAUUUGGAAGUUGUGAGCCAAUUAUGUAUUUGUGUUAAAGCCUUAAAACUUAAUCAGCCACCCACAAUUAGAAUGGUAUACAUGAAAAUCCCAUAACUGGUUGUGCCCAUGCACAAAAUUUGGAAGUUGUGACCAUCUAUUCGAAUUUAAUUUGUAUUUAACCACAUAUUUCGAAAAGGAUCCAAAAAUUCUCCCAUCCCAUCGCUUCCUAGCCUGGCUACCUGGCCUUCGUCGACAUCCAUACCGUAGCCAUCAGUUUCUUUAUUGAUGAUUAAAACCUGAAACUCCUUAUGCUUUCUUUGACGUCGAAUAGAGUAUUUUUCUUUGCCCCCUAAAAAUAGGCCUAGCUCAUACUUCAAUUGAAGAUCCACACAGUUCGCCUUUUGUAAGAAAUUGGUGAUCUAUAGGGUACAAUUUCUCGUGGAGCAAUAUUAGCAAUUUGAGAAAUCGAUUUGUUAAUUUGAGGAGGAAGGUGGAUGGCGUAAUUAGAAUAUCCUGGGCUUUUAUUCCAGUUUAGGCCAAACCCUACCUGGGUUUGCUUCAUCCACUCAUUUCUUCAAGAUGUUGGGCCAUUUCCUUAAUAUGGUCCAAGCCCACUGGUCUUCAGCCUUAUUUUCCUGAUUCAGUUUGUUGAUAACGUUGGCUUGUUUUGAUCCACCCCAAUACAAUCUCUCAACGGCAAUGGAAGAUUCGAAAAUUGACGAUCAUACUUCUUCUCCUUCGAUGACGAUGGAGAUGGGAAUAACUGCAAUCUCUCAGGCGACACCAAUAAAAGGACGACCAAGCUGCCGGCAUCACAGGGGUUAUCGGAGGCUGUAGUAGCUUCGAUUUCCUAAGAUUUUGGUGGAGUUUCAUAAUCAAAGGUGGCUUCAGAUGAGGUCGUUGCCGGUCCUUUUUUCUUCCAUUCUCUUCCAUGUCUUUCCCGUUGGCCCAUCAUCUCGCUCUUCUACAUUGGACUCUCCAAAUCCCAUUGGUACUUGCAGGAAAAAUUGCCCUCCUAAGAUGGUCAAAAUCUGUCAAUCAUCAACCCUUUCAAUUCUCUCCAAGUUUGUACGGUCUAUUGUCGAUCGACCUCUUGAAACCAAUUUCAAGUUAGCCAACCAAAACGCAUUUUAGCAGUUUCUAUCUUCUCUGCUUCCGAUAGUUGAUUUUUAGAAAAAAUCUCCUCAACUCUAGACAACCACCACUCGAUAUUGUCACCGUAUUAGAUGGAGAUUAUGAGUCACCCUCGUGAAUCCAAUCCUAACUCCUCUUCUCGGUCUCCCUUUUCUAGUCGCCUUAUCAUCUUUUCCAAUCGAUUCAUUAUCAAGGCCCAACUCUCUUCCAUUUCCUUGCUGAAAUUUGUUGUUAUUGCCCUGAGAUUGCAGCUCUGAUACCAAUUUGAUAAGGUUCCAACUACAAUUUAUGAGCAUAAAACAGGUUGGUAUUAUUGAUUGAAGAAAACUGAGAAAAUUAUAGAAGUGGAAUUGAAACAACAGCCAUUCAAAAGGGUUAUAACUCCCCUAAAG
rnacentral:lncRNA from 1 species